CCAUACGUAAUUUUUAUAUUUCUAUUGGAUACACAGUGAAACUGUCAGGACAAUUAAUGAGGGCUGGACACUUAUCAGUGGUUUAUGGUUUGAGCGAUUUACGUGACUACUAGUAACCCGGAUUCCCUCCAUUUCUUGGCACACCUGUAGUUGCUCAGUACUCACGUGUGAUUGUACGGAGAUAGAACAAAGCCAGUGCUAUGUCUUCGGUACCAGUGUGUGUUAUCGUCUGCUGGUCCUAUCCUCAAUCGCUGGCACACUUACUAAUAUGGAACGGGGCCUGAUUUAAAUGGGCUCUCUAUGCAACACUCAAAUGAUUUUUAGGGUAUAGUAUUCCUUAAAAGGGAAUUUAUUUUUAAAGUCUACAUAUUAAUCUCCAGCACCACAUCAACAUGUAAGAAUGGUGUCUUUCUAUGUUUCGUAGCAGAGGAAGAUGUUUGUAGGCAAUGCCUACUCGCUAUUGGUCAAUCACUCAAUGCACACCGAUGUCAUUGGAAAAACAAUUUGUUUUUAUUUGUUACUACGAACAUGCACCAUUUUCACAUGUUUGGUACUGGACAGGUGUACUUCUUUUUAAAGGUGGUAGACCCGUAGAAUGUUUAAUUCUACCUGGGGCCCUCGUGUUUAAGUGGUUUUACCAACUAGACUGCAAAUGCUCAUGUUUAAUGUGACUCCAUUGUCUUUAGAUUAAGAAUUUGAGGAGGAGGCACCACCCCCAAAGAAGGCUGAAGGUCAUGGCAGCCAAGGAGUAGUCUGACGACGAUGAUGAGGGACUAUGAGGAAGAGGAGGUGGACACCACCCCGGCACCCGCAGCAAAGAAAGCAGGCAUGGUCAAGGCUAAAGAGUCGUGACGAUGAUGGAAGUUUGGCUACGUAGAAUUUGCCUCAGCGGAGGACAUGCAGACGGCCAUGGAGCUGAACGGCAAGAAGUGCAUGGGACAGGAGCUGAAAAUGGACAAGACCCGCAGCAAAGGGAACUCCCAGGGGGACAAAGGUACAUUUAUAUUACUGUUGAUAUUUGUAGUGCAUUGACUAAAUCUUGCUGUUUGAAACUAAGGUUUUCACAAAUGUGAUAAUUGAAUAAACUGAAGUGAUUUUAAA